AUUGAACGCUGGCGGCAGGCCUAACACAUGCAAGUCGAACGGUAACAGGAAGAAGCUUGCUUCUUUGCUGACGAGUGGCGGCCGGGUGAGUAAUGUCUGGGAAACUGCCUGAUGGAGGGGGAUAACUACUGGAAACGGUAGCUAAUACCGCAUAACGUCGCAAGACCAAAGAGGGGGACCUUCGGGCCUCUUGCCAUCGGAUGUGCCCAGAUGGGAUUAGCUAGUAGGUGGGGUAACGGCUCACCUAGGCGACGAUCCCUAGCUGGUCUGAGAGGAUGACCAGCCACACUGGAACUGAGACACGGUCCAGGCUCCUACGGGAGGCAGCAGUGGGGAAUAUUGCACAAUGGGCGCAAGCCUGAUGCAGCCAUGCCGCGUGUAUGAAGAAGGCCUUCGGGUUGUAAAGUACUUUCAGCGGGGAGGAAGGGAGUAAAGUUAAUACCUUUACUCAUUGACGUUACCCGCAGAAGAAGCACCGGCUAACUCCGUG
rnacentral:rRNA from 1 species